AAUUGUUGUUCUGCGUCAAGUUGCAAAUUUGGUUUCACAUAAGAAAACACAGCAGCAAUCAAAGAUGGUGAGACUUUACACUCUUUUGCUAUUGUGCGUUGUAUUUUUCGUAUUCAGCGUCAAUGGUCAAUGUGCGAAAGAAAAUGAAUCGUGCAGCAGAACUAAACCUUGCUGUACUGGACUUCGAUGCAACAGUGGCAAAUGCAAAAAAGGAGGAUAAUUCAAAAUUUAAUUCCAAAUAACAAUACUUGAUGUAAAUUAAAUUGCAUUAAUUUUUUCUAAUCAAAUUUUUUACUGUAAACCCAUUGCUUUUAAUAAUAAAGACCAUAAAAAGAAAA